rnacentral:rRNA from 1 species
CUACGGUGAAUACGUUCCCGGACCUUGUACACACCGCCCGUCAAGCCAUGGAAGCCGGAGGGACCUGAAGUCGGUAACCGCAAGGAGCCGCCUAGGGUAAGACCGGUAACUGGGCU